UACGGGGGGGGCAAGCGUUGUUCGGAAUUACUGGGCGUAAAGGGCUCGUAGGCGGCCAACUAAGUCGGAUGUGAAAUCCCCAAGCUUAACUUGGGAACUGCAUCCGAUACUGGAUGGCUUGAAUCCGGGAGAGGGAUGCAGAAUUCCAGGUGUAGCGGUGAAAUGCGUAGAUAUCUGGAGGAAUACCGGUGGCGAAGGCGGCGUCCUGGACCGGCAUUGACGCUGAGGAGCGAAAGCUAGGGGAGCAAACGGG
rnacentral:rRNA from 1 species